UAAAAAAAACGGGUUGAAAGGAUAAUAAACAAAGGUUUUAAGAUCGAAACCCUACUAUGACAUCACACUUCCCACUCUUAUUUCAUCUCUCUCUGUUUCUAUUUACAUUCCAUAGAGAGAAGAAGAAGAAGAGCAAUGACAGUAACAACAGAGAAUGAGAAGAAGCAAGAAGAAAAAGAGGAACCAAAACAAGUGGCGAACCCAUGGGAAGUUUCCGCCAAAGGCAAAGUCGAUUACGACAAACUCAUCGACCGGUUUGGAUGAAGCUUUAAUUUCGUGUCUCUAGUGCAUCACCUCUCACACUCCCCACGUCUUUCUACGAUGCGGCAUUUUUUUAGCCCACCGGUACCUCCAUCCAUUUCCUCCAUUCACUCUUUCCCUUAUUUACUUAAACGAAAAUUUGAUGAUGUUGUUUCUCUGUGUCACAACAAUUUCAUGGAGAUUCUGGACGCAUAUGAGAGGGGAGAUAGGUUCUACUUGUACACCGGACACGGACCUUGCUCUGAGGCCUUGCAUUUGGGACACUUGAUUCCCUUCAUGUUCACUAAGUGAGUGAGUUCCUCACAUUUUUUUAUUUUAAUUUGAAGAAUUUUGAAAUGGAAUUUGACUUUUAAUUUGUGAAUCUAGUGUGUUGUUUUUGUAAACUAAGUGGAUUUUGAAGAGUGAGUUCACAUUUUGGUAGCUAAAUUGAUUAACAAUAGCUAGUCACUUGUUUCUGGAGCGAGUUCCCUGGGUUGGAUGGUUCUAGAGGUCCCUUGUAUGCAGGAACUGGUUGCUUUCACAAGAGAGAGUCUCUUUGUGAGAUGAAAUUCAAUGAUCAAUAUAGCAAUGACUAGAAUAGUGAAGAUGAUUAGUUUAAAGAAGCAAACCUGCAAGAACUAGAACAACAAUAAAAGGUUCUUGCAAGCCACAACUAUGAGGAAAACACACUAUGGGGAAAAGAGGUGCUUCUCCCUUUCUCUCUCACACACACUUUUUUUUGUGCGCAUAUGAUUGCGAAGGAGUAUCCAGUGGAGGAUGUGAUGACAAGAUUAUCUAUACAGUGCCAAGGGUGGAAAUCAAUGUACUACAACCCACCAAGGAAGGCUUUCUUAGGUUUAGCUCCAACUACCUUGCCUCAAACACUUGUUCGGCACAAGAGAUGGUCUGAAGAAGACUUGCAAAUUUUGUUUUCUAAAUACAACCCUGCAUGGUAUGGUUUUGGAAGGAUCAAUUUUGGGCUCCUAAUAGGAUAUAGUGUUUAUUGCUUAUGGGCACCUAAUGGUUUAGCAACACUAUACUAUUCUUAGGUAAAGUCCAUUUAUAUAUUUGAGAAAAUAAUGUUAUUGUGUCAUUUUUAUUCUUA